rfam:Brachypodium distachyon strain Bd21 chromosome 1, whole genome shotgun sequence.
UGGCAGUGAUUAGAAACUUACCCGCGCUUCUGAUUAAACCAUGAAGUAUAAGGGAAAACAUGGUUGAAUUUCUUAAUAUGAGCCA